rnacentral:rRNA from 1 species
AAACUUUCAACAAUGGAUCUCUUGGUUCCGGCAUCGAUGAAGAACGCAGCGAAAUGCGAUAAUUAAUGUGAAUUGCAGAAUUCAGUGAAUCAUCGAGUCUUUGAACGCACAUUGCACCCCCUGGUAUUCCGGGGGGUAUGCCUGUCCGAGCGUCAUUU